GCUGGUAAUCAUUUCCUACAAUCUUCCACAAUGUCAUUUGGCCCUCCAGAUUUGUGUAAGGUUUCAUAAGAGGGGAAAUGCCCCCGAGGCCUUUUGCUUUCUUCUACAUUUCUAUUCUCAGCUUAUUCGUGCUUGUUGUGCCCCUUUGAUCUCCCCUCCCAAUUUCUCUUACCUUUCAAUUCCUUUAGACCUUUUCUACUCAGCAAUGGCGCCUCGUUCUUAAAAGAAGUUUGGAUGUCCAUUUGUUGAGUUUGUCAUAGUCGUGGACACAGUGUGUUGUCGUUCUGUAUCGUUGCCGAUGUUCCUAAGGACGGUGACCAACAGUGUGUUGUCGAUGCCACUCACCCACAUGCUCGUGUGGCCCUGGGGUCAUUUCAUAUCUUGAUCGGGCCGGCGAGGUGCAAGUGACAGCUUACCGUCUUCAUUGCUUCUCUGGCAAUUCGGUUAUGAUGGUAUGGGAUCAUAGUUCUUAAGGUCUUCGUGUAAGGAUGGAUUCUAGAGCUAUUAGAAUGAAUUAGCAUUCCCUAGGGUUGAGGUGUGUAGAUCUCUACACUUAUAUUAUGUUUGUUCACUGUUUGGCGGGAUGCAACUGUUUAUGGUUGCUAAUCCCCGCCCUCGUCAUGUUCUGGCCCCACCACCGAGCCAAGUGGUGGAGCAGGAGGGGGAGGGGACCAAUUCUCAAACCGAUGCCCCUCCGGUGAUUUGAGUUGCUGCCAAGGAGCAGUCGAUGCUGGGCAUUGAUCGCAAGGGUAAGCGCCUUGCUGAUGAAGGAGAAGGAGUAAGGGGAGAAGUCGUCAUGCUCCUCAGAAGAAGCGUAGGACUUCGAGGGUGCCCUGAUUUUUUUGGCCAUCAAUUCUGGGGCCAAUUGAUGAAUCAGAGUAUUUUUCUAACGUCUCGGUACCCGAGUAGAGGAACGACCAGUUGAAAAUGAUCCGCAAGAAUGUUUUGAGGAAGUUGUACAGGAUCCUACAGUUCCUCCUUCUGAGGUCGGGGGGGAGCAGAUACGGAAUCGGUGCAAUCAACCAUCUCGGUUCCUCCUACCAUAGUGGUUACUAUUCCCAUCGUCGGUGGGCAACUGAAAAAGAUGGCUCCCCGUCCUCGGUGGAAGGAGUCAAAAAGCUUUGGAUUGUCAUUUGUGUUAAAGUAGGUCGAUGUUAGUGAGGCUCGCCCGGAAGCUAAAAACCCACAAGUCCCUUCUGAGGGUGUUGUGGGUGAAAAGGAUUCUGUGAUGUGAACUUGGCGGAUGUCUCAAUGGCGCUUGUGAUUAGGUGCUUGGUGGAAGAUCAUAAGUCUUUGCAGCCCCUUAUCAAGGAGCAGAACUCAUCUGAGCGCCUGUCUCUUUACCCAGAGGAUGCGGGUGUUCAAGCAUGCGCUGACAAGGAUGUUGCUGCCUACGAGUUUGUGCCUGGCGAGCCUAGGUGAGAACAAGAAUCCUCUGUACCUAUGCAAGAACAUCCCCCCAAGGGUGUGAUGGGUGAGGCUGAGGCAGCUCAUAGGUUUGAACCCUCUACAUCGGAGCAGCCCCCCUUCUAGUCCAAUAAGCAAGUCAAGGCAUGAGCAGAGGCUCUCUGUUGCGGACUAUGGGAAGGAGCUUGAGAAGAUGGCUAUUGUUGUAGUGCCUGAGCAGCCUCGUGGGGAUUCGAUGUUGGGAUCUCAGCGCGAGGAAGAGCCCGAAUCCUGUGCAGAGGUGAUAGGUCCCAGUCAAAGAUAGAGUUGAAAGAGUAUUCUGCUUAGGGUGAGAAUGAAACCCACAAGAUUUUUAUUUAAUUUCCAACACCAUUUCAGCUGGUUGUUGGAGUU